rnacentral:rRNA from 1 species
AAUCCAGACUCCUACGGGAGGCAGCAGUGGGGGAUAUUGCACAAUGGGGGGAACCCUGAUGCAGCGACGCCGCGUGGGUGAAGGAGCGUUUCGGCGCGUAAAGCCCUAUCGGCAGGGAAGAAGGAGGACGGUACCUGACUAAGAAGCCCCGGCUAACUACGUGCCAGCAGCCGCGGUAAUACGGAGGGGGCAAGCGUUAUCCGGAUUUACUGGGUGUAAAGGGGGCGCAGACGGCGAUGCAAGCCAGGAGUGAAAGCCCGGGGCCCAACCCCGGGACUGCUCUUGGAACUGCGUGGCUGGAGUGCAGGAGGGGCAGGCGGAAUUCCUGGUGUAGCGGUGAAAUGCGUAGAUAUCAGGAGGAACACCGGUGGCGGAGGCGGCUUGCUGGACGAAAACUGACGUUGAGGCUCGAAAGCGUGGGGAGCAAACAGGAUUAGAUACCCCAGUA